rnacentral:rRNA from 1 species
CGCCUGUUUAUCAAAAACAUGUCUAUAUGAUUGUUAUAUAAAGUCUAGCCUGCCCACUGAUUUGUUUUAAAGGGCCGCGGUAUAUUGACCGUGCGAAGGUAGCAUAAUCAUUAGUCUUUUAAUUGGAGGCUUGUAUGAAUGGUUGGACAAAAAGUAAGCUGUCUCGGUUAUAAUAAUUGAACUUAACUUUUAAGUGAAAAGGCUUAAAUGUUUCAGGGGGACGAUAAGACCCUAUAAAGCUUGACAAUAAUUUCGUUAUAUUAUAAAUUGUUAGUAUAACUUGAUUUUAACGGGAGUUUGUUUCGUUGGGGCGACGGGAAUAUAAUAGAUAACUGUUCUUUUAAAUAUAAUUACAAAAAUACUUGGUAAAUAAUUGAUCCUCUAUUAGAGAUUAAAAGAUUAAGUUACUUUAGGGAUAACAGCGUAAUCUUCUUUGAGAGUCCACAUCGACAAGAAGGUUUGCGACCUCGAUGUUGAAUUAAGGUAUCCUUAUAAUGCAGCAGUUAUAAAGGAGGGUCUGUUCGACCUUUAAAUCCUUACAUGAUCUGAGUUCAAACCGG